UACGUAGGGUGCAAGCGUUAAUCGGAAUUACUGGGCGUAAAGCGUGCGCAGGCGGUUUUGUAAGUCUGUCGUGAAAUCCCCGGGCUCAACCUGGGAAUUGCAUUUGUGACUGCACGGCUAGAGUGUGUCAGAGGGGGGUAGAAUUCCACGUGUAGCAGUGAAAUGCGUAGAUAUGUGGAGGAAUACCGAUGGCGAAGGCAGCCCCCUGGGAUAACACUGACGCUCAUGCACGAAAGCGUGGGGAGCAAACAGG
rnacentral:rRNA from 1 species